rnacentral:lncRNA from 1 species
GAAGGAGGGGCCCUAACAACUGAGGACAUCAAUUUGAAGAAAAGGGUCAGAGGAAACAGGUUUUAUCAUUGGGGCCAGGGAUGGCUUCGUGGUCAAGAGGGGAGCAGCAGUGUGUGGAUGACCAUAUUCGAUGGACACUCAAGAAAAUACGAGCAGGCUAGUGAGGCCCCGACAGAGGGGUUUGGAGGAGGAGCUGCUCCCUUGAGAAUAUGGUUUUAG